CCUACGGGGGGCAGCAGUAGGGAAUCUUUCACAAUGGGCGAAAGCCUGAUGGAGCAACGCCGCGUGCAGGAUGAAGGCCUUCGGGUUGUAAACUGCUUUUAUAAGCGAGAAAUAUGAUGGUAACUUAUGAAUAAGGAUCGGCUAACUACGUGCCAGCAGCCGCGGUCAUACGUAGGAUCCGAGCAUUAUCCGGAGUGACUGGGUGUAAAGAGUUGCGUAGGUGGCAUAAUAAGUAGCUAGUGAAAUCGGGUGGCUCAACCAUUCAGACUAUUAGCUAAACUGUUAAGCUCGAGACCGUUAGGGGUAACUGGAAUGUCUAGUGUAGGAGUGAAAUCCGUAGAUAUUAGAAGGAACACCAAUAGCGUAGGCAGGUUACUGGGACGGUUCUGACACUAAGGCACGAAAGCGUAGGGAGCAAACGGGAUUAGAUACCCGUGUAGUC
rnacentral:rRNA from 1 species